rnacentral:rRNA from 1 species
AUUGAACGCUGGCGGCAUGCCUUACACAUGCAAGUCGGACGGUAACAGGUCUUCGGAUGCUGACGAGUGGCGAACGGGUGAGUAAUACAUCGGAACGUGCCUAGUAGUGGGGGAUAACUACUUGAAAGAGUGGCUAAUACCGCAUGAGAUCUACGGAUGAAAGCAGGGGAUCGCAAGACCUUGUGCUACUAGAGCGGCCGAUGGCAGAUUAGGGAGUUGGUGGGAUAAAAGCGUACCAAGCCGACGAUCUGUAGCUGGUCUGAGAGGACGAUCAGCCACACUGGGCCGGAGACACGGCCCAGACUCCUACGGGAGGCAGCAGUGGGGAAUUUGGGACAAUGGGCGCAAGCCUGAUCCAGCAAUGCCGCGUGCAGGAUGAAGGCCUUCGGGUUGUAAACUGCUUUUGUACGGAACGAAAAGCCCCGGGUUAAUACCCUGGGGUCAUGACGGUACCGUAAGAAUAAGCACCGGCUAACUACGUGCCAGCCGCCGCCGUAA